GAAGAGAAGAAACUAGUCAACGUGCUGGAUGCUGUUUUCAAGCCUGAAGUUCGUUGAUCCAGAGCAGACAUGCAGACAUUUUUGGUGAUAAAAGAAGAAUUUCUCCCUGAACACCAGGAAUGGAGUCCGAGUGUUGACCAGGAGGACAU